rnacentral:rRNA from 1 species
UACAGAGGUGGCAAGCGUUGUUCGGAUUUACUGGGCGUAAAGGGCUCGUAGGCGGUCAGCUAAGUCAGACGUGAAAUCCCUCGGCUUAACCGGGGAGCUGCGUCUGAUACUGGAUGGCUUGAGUUUGGGAGAGGGAUGCGGAAUUCCAGGUGUAGCGGUGAAAUGCGUAGAUAUUGGGAGGAACACCAGUGGCGAAGGCGGCUCCCUGGACCGGACCUGACGCUGAGGCGCGAAAGCGUGGGGAGCAAACGGG